UGAGAUUCCAUCCACAGCAACCGAUUGUUGGGAGCAACCUAUUUUUGGCCAGCCGCUAUAGUCUGUACCGGCCCUUGUAUAAUUUUUUUUUUUUAUAAGCCGCAACAGGCUGUAGCGGCUGCCAAAAAUAGAUUACUCCCAACAACCGGUUGCUGUAGAUGGAAUCUCACAUGUUUAUUAUUUAUGCAUAAAUAUUAAUUCCAUGAGAUUAAUUAAACUCCUACAGGGGUCGGAGGGUCAUGGUGGUUGUUUGCUCCUGUUCCUGGAUAAUCUGUGCUUUCCAAAUCCAUUCUUCCCUCUACAAGUCCUUCCACCACUAACAUCUUUCCUUCUCCCAUUUCCUACAAAAUUUCAAAACAAACAUAAAAUAAGUAAAUAUAUCGUUUGCGUAUUACUUAUAUGCGUGGAUAAAUAUUUUUUUAAAGAAAAAACUAUAUAGUAAAUAUUUUAAUUUUGUUAAAAGAAUGGGAAAAUUAAAGGAAUUACUAAUUCAAUUUGUAGAAGUAAGAAAGUGGAUGUGUACAUGUGGGUAGUACGUAUUACAAAUAAUUGUUAUAAUUGACUUUUUUCUUUAUGAAUUAAUAUUUGUUAUUAUAUGUUUGAAAUAAUUAUCAUUUCAAUUCUUUGUAUCUUAAUUUUUUCAUUUCAUCGUAUCAUCGUAUCGUAUGUAACGCAGACUAACAAUUUAGAGAAUGGUAGAGAAGGUAAACAAAAGUUGACAGCUAAAAGUUAUUGGCUUCUUGCAUAAUGGGGUUGACUUCUCAGUUCGUUAAUUAACCCAAAAAUCUGUGGUUGCAAACUACUACAGUACUACUAUUAUUGCCAAAUUUUUAAUUACCAAUUUGAAGAAUUCCAAAAAAAAUAAAUAGAAAAUACUAGUAGUAAUGUAUUUCACAGAAGUAGGGGUAUUAAUGACAAUAGUGCCAAUUUAUUUAUGGUAAAUGAUGUAAUAAGCCAAAAGAAUAAACUAAACAGAGAGGGAUCGAUAUGAGUUCUUCUAGGGGGACCGUGAUUUUCCGAUCGGGGUAGUAAUUGGUUGGCAUUUUUUUAUUUUUUUAUUUUUUGUUUUUGACUACAAAAUAAUUAAUGUGAUUUAUUAGAACUGAAAUUUUUAUAAAAUGCAGUAAUUUAGGUGUCUUUUUGGAUACACGUAACAAACAGGGUUAUACAGUAUGUACAAUUUUAUUUUUUAUGUGUAUCCAAAUGACACUUAAAUCACUGCAAUUUAUAAAAAUUUCAGUUCUAAUAAAUCACAUUAAUUAUUUUGUAGUCAAAAACAAAAAAAAAUAAAAAUAAAAAAUUUCGGCCGGUCAUUACCGGAGCCGGAAAAUCACGGUCCCCCUAGACUUUCUGGGAUGGGGAUGGAUAUAGAGCACCUGAGCUUGUAAAUCUUGGAGUGCAGGAUUCUCCUUAAUAGAUUUGAGGCUUCCUGUUUAUAUGAGAAAAGAAAAAUAAAAUAAAAGAAAGAAAGAAAGAAAACAUGCACGCACGUAUACCUAUAACAGAAAUAUCUUAUAGUAUAUAUUUACAAGCCAAGAUUCAAACAGAAAUAUAACCCUUACUGGAUGUGGGAACUGUAGAAAUGGAGGCAAUAACAGAAGAGAAUCCCAGAAAGAGCACAAGAAGGUGAAGCAAAGACUUAUUAAUCUUCAUGUUGACAAAUUAAAGCAAAAUAGAUUAUAGAUCUGAAGAAGAAUUAAUUAAUAUAUAUGUUGUAUAGGUUGGUGAUGGGGAGAGAGAGAGCUACAGAAUAUGUGGAUGGAGAAGAUGCAAUCCUUAUAUAUAUAGAGCAGAAUUAUUGAAUAUAGAAAAAAGGUCAAGUACUAUUAAUUAAUUACUAGUAAAAUUUACAAAAAAGUCAACUUCAUUAUUUG
rnacentral:lncRNA from 1 species